UCAGCAGGGUCAUCCCCACUUUGUGCCUCACGAUGUUUUCCUGGCUGAGGGAUUUCCCCCACCCCCAGGACUUCACAGAAAUGCGCAGCAAAAUCUGCAAACAUGUUCCUGGCGGGGGGUCGGAGAUUGGAUCACCGUUCUUUCCCCUAAUGAUGGUAAAUAGGUGUGGCGCUGCAGUGUAACUACACCACCACCACCACCACCCACUCACCCACUCACUCACCAGUGUGAUGUAAACCACUGCGUCAUAGAGCAGCCAGGCCACGACCCAUCGCUCUGCGGGCGGCAGCUGCAGGCGGCCUCCCACCACCCGCGACAGAGCGAGGGCCGCGCGCGCCUGGAAGGCGCAGAGGGCGAGCGACAGGCACGCCGCUCGGCUCGGCCACACGGGGUCAUCGGCACCACCCCCAGCAUCAGAGACAACAGCAGCAGGAGCAGGAGACGGCAUCUCCAUCACUGUCGCGCGCGCGUGGGAACUCGUGAACACGGACACCACGGUUGUGGACACUUCCAGCAAGCCACGGCUAGCUGAUUGGAAGUUCGGCCACGAAUCGGUCUCCCAGCCCCGGGGGGGAGAUACUUCCCCAAUGUAUGAUAAUCAACAGCCACCGGGGUUCGUGCAGCAGAAAGACGGUCACAGGUUUAUCAACGUUGCGCCUUGCAACGAGCGUCCGCCCCACCCCGACCCCACCGCCUGCGAGAUGGGAGAUUGAGUGUGCUGCUGGCUCGGCACCUCCUGUGAACACGGUUCUUCCGCUGGGGACCUCUGGGAGAUGGCUCCUCAUCCUCCUCUGUGGACUGUUCUCAACAUGGACGCUCAGGAGAGGAAAAUCUCUCCAAUCCGGACGGAUGUUUGGGAUAGCCUCUCUUUUGAUAGUGCAUGAAUUACUAACUCGUAGGCUUUUGCGACCAAUAUCCAUAAUAUAGGUUUUUUUGCGUUAGAUCACGUAAAUAUAAAUCUGUCGUUAAACCUGCCACCACCCGACAAAGGUUUAUCACGUAAACAGAACAUGGCAAUUUGUUACUAGUACAGCACACCAGUGUGUUGGAGAGCAAAUCUACAACAUUUACAAUCCGAGUACGACGUUUCAGCAGUUAUUACAACUAGGUUCAUCAUCAUGAAGCUACCACCUGUUUUGUUGAUGACGUCACUUGUAAGCGCUUAUUGUGCGAAGGGGGAUUAAUGAAUGCAUAUACAUUUUAAUGGGUAUCUAGUGCGCGUUGCGUUAUAUAUGGUAAUAAUCAGCGUACAUUAUGCGUGCACAUGUAUGCACAUUGUUCUUGAACCGCUUGUAGUUUGCGAGCAAUCAAUGAGUACCUGUUAUUGUCUUUGUACAGGUAAUCCCCAUUUAUGUAUGGUGACCUGUAUGGGCAUGUAUUUAAACAAUGUAUUAUCUGAUUAUUCACUUCGUAGCAGCACUAAGCCUGUAGUUAUCGGAAUGGUUACAAUUAUUUUUUAUCAAUUCCGAUAGAUUCUUUCAUUACUCUGGACCGGUAGUAACUAGUUUUGCACAGACCUUCGAAAUUAUCAGAAUCACUUGAGUGUCAUUGUUGGCAUGCGUAUUCUGCCACUGCUGACAGUUGUAUUUGGGAAUAUUUUAUAUUGAUUUGGUGUUCUUUGGAUCAUACUGAUCAUUCGUCAUGUCUGCCCAAUAUAGCAUUUGCCACAAGUGCAAUUAAUCUGUUGCACACCUGCUGGUGAUAGCUUCGGUAAUACAUACUCUUUGGUUCUUUCGGUAAAGUCACGUAGUUAGAAAUAAAAUGAAACAAAUCACGACGUUUCGGGCGCAACACAAGUGUCCGUCAUCAGGUGGG